AAAUAUCUAUAUUUACUGAAACCUCGGUAAAAUAGCUUUUUGUGACCCCUUUGACCGCUCGUCAGUUUUUAGGUCUCAAAACCACGCUAUUUCCCUCGGUCUCGGUAAAUACAUGUAAAUUAUAAAUAAUGAAUUAAUUGAUAAAUUAAAUAAUGAAUUAAUUUUUGAAAAAUUGCAUGUUAGACAAAACUUAGCAAGUAAUUCUAUAAUUUUAAUAGUUACAUGUAUUCGAUGACUUCUGCAGUUUCCCAAUAGACCAAUCAAACGCAAUUUAAUAUGGGAAACGUUGUCGUUUUAAUUUGAGGUACAUCAUAGAGCUUAGAAUUUUUUAAUAUUGUGAUAUAAUCAUGUAAAAUAUAUAUAGUAAAUGAUGAACAUAAAUAACAAAUACCUUAUUUCUCCCGCAUUUUACUAGCGCUGGAUUAAACCUUUCUGGGGCACCGGAUGUAAAAAAAUUAGGACUGGUUACUAAUGACCUGCUGAAGGAUAGUUUUUAGCUGGCGCCCACUCUCAAAUAAAUCUUAUUUGCGGUCAGCUUAAAAAGGUCUCGUAUUUUCGAUAAUCAGUUCGUUGAACUUUUUGUCCUAAAUUUUCGUGCAGAAGCCCUGGGCAUGAG